GGCCUCGUGGCCCAAUGGCAAGGCGUCUGACUACGACAAACAAGGAACCGCCACAGCGGCUCUGAGUAUUGGAAUAGCAAUCAGGAGAUUCUGGGUUCGACCCCCAGCGAGGUCA